rnacentral:rRNA from 1 species
UAACACGUGAGUAACCUGCCCUCCACUUCGGAAUAACCUCGGGAAAUCGUGGCUAAUACCGGAUAUGAGCACUCAUCGCAUGGUGGGUGUUGGAAAGAUUUAUCGGUGGGGGAUGGACUCGCGGCCUAUCAGUUUGUUGGUGAGGUGAUGGCUCACCAAGACGAUGACGGGUAGCCGGCCUGAGAGGGCGACCGGCCACACUGGGACUGAGACACGGCCCAGACUCCUACGGGAGGCAGCAGUGGGGAAUAUUGCACAAUGGGCGAAAGCCUGAUGCAGCGACGCCGCGUGGGGGAUGACGGCCUUCGGGUUGUAAACCCCUUUCAGUAGGGAAGAAGCGAGAGUGACGGUACCUGCAGAAGAAGCGCCGGCUAACUACGUGCCAGCAGCCGCGGUAAUACGUAGGGCGCAAGCGUUGUCCGGAAUUAUUGGGCGUAAAGAGCUUGUAGGUGGCUUGUCGCGUCUGCCGUGAAAACCCGAGGCUCAACCUCGGGCGUGCGGUGGGUACGGGCAGGCUAGAGUGUGGUAGGGGAGACUGGAACUCCUGGUGUAGCGGUGAAAUGCGCAGAUAUCAGGAAGAACACCGAUGGCGAAGGCAGGUCUCUGGGCCAUUACUGACACUGAGAAGCGAAAGCAUGGGUAGCGAACAGGAUUAGAUACCCUGGUAGUCCAUGCCGUAAACGUUGGGCACUAGGUGUGGGGGACAUUCCACGUUUUCCGCGCCGUAGCUAACGCAUUAAGUGCCCCGCCUGGGGAGUACGGCCGCAAGGCUAAAACUCAAAGGAAUUGACGGGGGCCCGCACAAGCGGCGGAGCAUGCUGAUUAAUUCGAUGCAACGCGAAGAACCUUACCAAGGCUUGACAUGCACUGGACGGCUGCAGAGAUGUGGCUUUCUUUGGACUGGUGCACAGGUGGUGCAUGGUUGUCGUCAGCUCGUGUCGUGAGAUGUUGGGUUAAGUCCCGCAACGAGCGCAACCCUCGUUCUAUGUUGCCAGCACGUGAUGGUGGGGACUCAUAGGAGACUGCCGGGGGUCAACUCGGAGGAAGGUGGGGACGACGUCAAAUCAUCAUGCCCCUUAUGUCUUGGGCUUCAAGCAUGCUACAANGGUCGGUACAAUGGGGUUGCGAAACUGUGAGGUGGAGCGAAUCCCAAAAAANCCGGCCUCCAGUUCGGAUUGGGGGUCUGCAACUCGACCCCAUGGAAGUCCGGAGUCCGCUUAGUAAUCGCAAGAU